rnacentral:rRNA from 1 species
GACGAACGCUGGCGGCGUGCUUAACACAUGCAAGUCGAACGGAAAGGCCCUGCUUUUGUGGGGUGCUCGAGUGGCGAACGGGUGAGUAACACGUGAGUAACCUGCCCUUGACUUUGGGAUAACUUCAGGAAACUGGGGCUCAUACCGGAUAGGAGCUCCUGCUGCAUGGUGGGGGUUGGAAAGUUUCGGCGGUUGGGGAUGGACUCGCGGCUUAUCAGCUUGUUGGUGGGGUAGUGGCUUACCAAGGCUUUGACGGGUAGCCGGCCUGAGAGGGUGACCGGCCACAUUGGGACUGAGAUACGGCCCAGACGCCUACGGGAGGCAGCAGUGGGGAAUAUUGCACAAUGGGCGGAAGCCUGAUGCAGCAACGCCGCGUGCGGGAUGACGGCCUUCGGGUUGUAAACCGCUUUCGCCUGUGACGAAGCGUGAGUGACGGUAAUGGGUAAAGAAGCACCGGCUAACUACGUG